rnacentral:rRNA from 1 species
UACGUAGGGGGCGAGCGUUGUCCGGAAUCAUUGGGCGUAAAGCGCGUGUAGGCGGCCCGGUAAGUCCGCUGUGAAAGUCCAGGGCUCAACCCUGGGAUGCCGGUGGAUACUGUCGGGCUCGAGUCCGGAAGAGGCGAGUGGAAUUCCUGGUGUAGCGGUGAAAUGCGCAGAUAUCAGGAGGAACACCAAUGGCGAAGGCAGCUCGCUGGGACGUGACUGACGCUGAGACGCGAAAGCGUGGGGAGCGA